AGAACGAACGCUGGCGGCAUGCCUAACACAUGCAAGUCGAACGAGACCUUCGGGUCUAGUGGCGCACGGGUGCGUAACGCGUGGGAAUCUGCCCUUCGGUUCGGAAUAACUCAGGGAAACUUGAGCUAAUACCGGAUAAUGACGUAAGUCCAAAGAUUUAUCGCCGAAGGAUGAGCCCGCGUAAGAUUAGCUAGUUGGUGAGGUAAAGGCUCACCAAGGCUACGAUCUUUAGCUGGUCUGAGAGGAUGAUCAGCCACACUGGGACUGAGACACGGCCCAGACUCCUACGGGAGGCAGCAGUGGGGAAUAUUGGACAAUGGGCGAAAGCCUGAUCCAGCAAUGCCGCGUGAGUGAUGAAGGCCUUAGGUUGUAAAGCUCUUUUACCCGGGAUGAUAAUGACAGUACCGGAGAAUAAGCUCCGGCUAACUCCGCGCCAGCAGCCGC
rnacentral:rRNA from 1 species